rnacentral:lncRNA from 1 species
AGCAAGAAAACUCAAAAUAUUCAAAUUUAAUCGGACCUCAAUACGAUAUCGAUAAAUUAAAAACCAAAAAAAAAAGGCUAGCAAAAGAACUGAUGUACGGAGAUAUAUUGGCAGUGGGGUUUACAACAAAAAUUGCAAAUACAAGUAUCAGUUGAUGAGCAACUCGCCCCAAAAAGUGGUCCAAAAAUACCAGGAGGUGCAGGCUUUCCUUUGAACUUGUCGCAUGUGUUGGAGCAGUUUGUUAUUUCACAAGGUAUGGCAGCUCCCAGGGGUUGAAUUUUACAUAUUUCUUGAUCUCCGAGGCUUGUUUUAGCGUCUUCAUUUGUUUGGACAAAAAUAAAACAUUUUGAGAUUAGAAAAUUGAACAACUAUUUGAUAAGAUUUCCAUUAAUUAAAAGGAUUGGACAUAUGUAUAUGCAACUUACCAAGAAGAACAAAGAGGACAAAUAUAAAGAAAGCUAUGCUUGAGAAAUUCUUCAUGAUUUUUUUUAUCAAUACCAGUAAAAGAUAAAAAAAUAAAACUGUAUCUAUG